UACGUAGGGUGCAAGCGUUGUCCGGAAUUAUUGGGCGUAAAGAGCUCGUAGGCGGUCUGUCGCGUCGGCUGUGAAAUCCCGAGGCUCAACCUCGGGUCUGCAGUCGAUACGGGCAAACUAGAGUAUUGCAGGGGAGACUGGAAUUCCUGGUGUAGCGGUGAAAUGCGCAGAUAUCAGGAGGAACACCGGUGGCGAAGGCGACUACCUGGCCUGUUCUUGACGCUGAGGCGCGAAAGCUAGGGGAGCAAACGGG
rnacentral:rRNA from 1 species